GGGCUUGUAGCUCAGUUGGUUAGAGCGCGCGCUUGAUAAGCGUGAGGUCCGGAAGUUCAAGUCUUCCCAGGCCCACCA
rnacentral:tRNA from 1 species